GGGUUGUGAGGUUAAGCGACUAAGCGUACACGGUGGAUGCCCUGGCAGUCAGAGGCGAUGAAGGGCGUGCUAAUCUGCGAUAAGCGCCGGUAAGGUGAUAUGAACCGUUAUAACCGGCGAUACCCGAAUGGGGAAACCCAGUGUGAUUCGUCACACUAUCAUUACGUGAAUACAUAGCGUAAUGAAGCGAACCGGGGGAACUGAAACAUCUAAGUACCCCGAGGAAAAGAAAUCAACCGAGAUUCCCCCAGUAGCGGCGAGCGAACGGGGAGGAGCCCAGAGCCUGAAUCAGCAUGUGUGUUAGUGGAAGCGUCUGGAAAGGCGCGCGAUACAGGGUGACAGCCCCGUACACAAAAGCGCAUGUGUUGUGAGCUCGAUGAGUAGGGCGGGACACGUGGUAUCCUGUCUGAAUAUGGGGGGACCAUCCUCCAAGGCUAAAUACUCCUGACUGACCGAUAGUGAACCAGUACCGUGAGGGAAAGGCGAAAAGAACCCCGGCGAGGGGAGUGAAAAAGAACCUGAAACCGUGUACGUACAAGCAGUGGGAGCACCCUUUGGGGUGUGACUGCGUACCUUUUGUAUAAUGGGUCAGCGACUUAUAUUCUGUAGCAAGGUUAACCGAAUAGGGGAGCCGGAGGGAAACCGAGUCUUAAUUGGGCGUUAAGUUGCAGGGUAUAGACCCGAAACCCGGUGAUCUAGCCAUGGGCAGGUUGAAGGUUGGGUAACACUAACUGGAGGACCGAACCGACUAAUGUUGAAAAAUUAGCGGAUGACCUGUGGCUGGGGGUGAAAGGCCAAUCAAACCGGGAGAUAGCUGGUUCUCCCCGAAAGCUAUUUAGGUAGCGCCUCGUGAACUCAUCUCCGGGGGUAGAGCACUGUUUCGGCUAGGGGGCCAUCCCGGCUUACCAACCCGAUGCAAACUGCGAAUACCGGAGAAUGUUAUCACGGGAGACACACGGCGGGUGCUAACGUCCGUCGUGAAGAGGGAAACAACCCAGACCGCCAGCUAAGGUCCCAAAGUCAUAGUUAAGUGGGAAACGAUGUGGGAAGGCCCAGACAGCCAGGAUGUUGGCUUAGAAGCAGCCAUCAUUUAAAGAAAGCGUAAUAGCUCACUGGUCGAGUCGGCCUGCGCGGAAGAUGUAACGGGGCUAAACUAUGCACCGAAGCUGCGG
rnacentral:rRNA from 1 species